rnacentral:rRNA from 1 species
AUUGAACGCUGGCGGCGUGCUUAACACAUGCAAGUCGAUCGGUAACAGGUGUAGCAAUACAUGCUGACGAGAGGCGGACGGGUGAGUAAUGCUUGGGAAUCUGCCUAUUAGUGGGGGACAACCCGGGGAAACUCGGGCUAAUACCGCAUACGCUCUACGGAGGAAAGCCGGGGACCGCAAGGCCUGGCGCUAAUAGAUGAGCCCAAGUCGGAUUAGCUAGUUGGUAGGGUAACGGCCUACCAAGGCGACAAUCCGUAGCUGGUCUGAGAGGACGACCAGCCACACCGGAACUGAGACACGGUCCGGACUCCUACGGGAGGCAGCAGUGGGGAAUAUUGGACAAGUGGGGCAACCCUGAUCCAGCGACGCCGCGUGGGUGAAGAAGGCC